AUAUUAACAAUUUUUCUCAUUCAUAUACAAUUAUUAGUAUUUUCUGUUUUUGUAAAAAAUAUAACAGUUCAUUAGAAUUGCAUAAGUUGUUUAUAUAGAAUAAAAUGCAAACUCUUUGUCAAGUUUUUCAUAGCUCACCACUGCAUGUAAUCCACAAACAGGAUAGGUCUACAAAUUACAUUAGUAGCAAAUAUGUGUUCUAUAACCAAACAUAGGGAAGAUUUUGCAAUGUUGAUUACAACUAAAACCAUAUUAUUUACAGAUGCUGCAAUAUAAAUUUUGCAAUCGUAUGCAUGGAAGACAAUUCUUCCACUAUCUAGUGGUGAAGCAUUUGUUGGAUAGGUACGUUUGUGUACUGGACAUGGAAAAUUGUCAUGCUGUUACUGAAUAGAAAUUAUAUUUACUUGAACAUUUUAUAUGCCAUUUCACUGAUAAAGGUACAUGGGUCCUUUUUUUCUACAGAAACACUGUAAAAGAAGAUGACUCAAUGUUGUUCAGAUGACCAUGAGAUCAUUGACCAUACACUCCGUAAUCUUUUGCUUUUGGAAUGUGCUUUAGACUAUAUUUAUAUGCUCCUAUUGCUAAUAAUAUCAAAACUCCAAGACUGCAUUAUAGCUCCUUUGAUGACCAUCAGCAGGGAAAUUUUACUAUGUUUGUGAAUAGAAUUGUGAUACCCGGUCGAUAUGUGUCCUGUACCAACAGGAACACACAAUGACCUUUAUGGUAUUAUGUCAAAUUUGAUGAACUUUUAUUUCAUUUCAUGUAGUAAUCAUUUUUUAUCUGUAAUAUGUUACAGAAUAAAACAUUUUAAAACUUACAAA